rnacentral:rRNA from 1 species
UACGAAGGGUGCAAGCGUUACUCGGAAUUACUGGGCGUAAAGCGUGCGUAGGUGGUGAGUUAAGUCUGUCGUGAAAGCCCCGGGCUCAACCUGGGGAAUGGCGAUGGAUACUGGCUCGCUAGAGUGCGGUAGAGGAGAGUGGAAUUCCCGGUGUAGCAGUGAAAUGCGUAGAGAUCGGGAGGAACAUCAGUUGCGAAGGCGGCUCUCUGGACCAGCACUGACACUGAGGCACGAAAGCGUGGGGGAGCAAACAGG